GAGUUUGAUCGUGGCUCAGGAUGAACGCUGGCGGCGUGCCUAAUACAUGCAAGUCGAGCGAGAAUCUUUGCACUGAAGCUUCGGCGGAUUUGUAAAGAGGAAAGCGGCGGACGGGUGAGUAACGCGUAGGCAACCUGCCCUUAGCAGAGGGAUAGCCAUUGGAAACGAUGAUUAAAACCUCAUAAUGCUGUCUUAACACAUGUAAAGACAGCCAAAGAUUUAUCGGCUAAGGAUGGGCCUGCGUCUGAUUAACUAGUUGGUGAGGUAACGGCUCACCAAGGUGACGAUCAGUAGCCGACCUGAGAGGGUGAUCGGCCACAUUGGAACUGAGACACGGUCCAAACUUCUACGGAAGGCAGCAGUAAGGAAUCUUGCACAAUGGGGGAAACCCUGAUGCAGCAACGCCGCGUGAACGAUGAAGG
rnacentral:rRNA from 1 species